rnacentral:lncRNA from 1 species
GCUAAGAUGGAGGUGGCUCUCUCUAUACUGACUGCCAGGUGUAAAGGGCGGAGCUUAUAACAAUGACUGACAGGGAGCUAAGAUGGAGGCGGCUCUCUCUAUACUGACUGCCAGGUGUAAAGGGCGGAGCUUAUAACAAUGAUUGACAGGGAGCUAAGAUGGAGGCGUCUCUCUCUCUAUACUGACUGUCAGGUGUAAAGGGCGGAGCUUAUAACUAUGAUUGACAGGGAGCUAAGAUGGAGGCGGCUCUCUCUAUACUGACUGCCAGGUGUAAAGGGCGGAGCUUAUAACAAUGACUGACAGAGAGCUAAG